UGAGUAGCUGCGGCGGGGCUGACCCAUCCUGAGUGCCAAAGCUGGGGUUCUACUUGAGAUUUCCCUCGUGGUGCCAGGGUCCGGCGAGCAUCACGCCGAGGCCCAUUUUCCAGACGACCACGACGAGGCCGGGGUCACGAACUCUGGUGCCCUUUACCAGCUUCCAGUCUCUUGAGGUGGCCAGUGUGGUGCUUGGUCCUUGUUUCCAGGAUGGACUUCCCCGGCUCCCUCCGCCCUGCGUUGUUUAUGACCGGCCCUCUUGGUCUGAGUGACGUCCCUGACCUCUCUUUCAUGUGCAGCUGGCAAGAUGCGCUGACCCUGCCAGAGGCCCAGCCCCAGAACUCAGAGAAUGGGGCACUGCAUGUGACCAAGGACCUGCUGUGGGAGCCGGCAACCCCUGGGCCUCUCCCCAUGCUGCCUCCCCUCAUCGAUCCCUGGGACCCUGGCCUGACUGCCCGGGACCUGCUUUUCCGCGGAGGGUACCGGUAUCGGAGGCGGCCCCGAGUCGUGCUGGAUGUUACUGAGCAGGUGAGUGGGCCCACGGGGGACAGUGCUGCGUAGCCUGGAGACUGUGCUUAGUGACCUGGCCUCCUCCUCUCCCCAGAUCAGCCGGUUCCUCUGGGAUCAUGGAGACGUAGCCUUUGCGCCCCUGGGGAAGCUGAUGCUGGAGAAUUUCAAGCUGGAGGGAACAGCGGUGUCCCUGGGCUUACCUCAGCAACCGACAGCGCCGCUUCUCUAUCCUCGGGGGCCCCAUCCUGGGCACAUCGGUGGCGAGCCACUUGGCAGAGCUGCUGCACGAGGAGCUGGUGCUGCGGUGGGAGCAGCUGCUUCUGGAUGAGGCCUGCACUGGGGGCGCGCUAGCCUGGGUGCCUGGAAGGACACCCCAGUUCGGGCAGCUGGUCUACCCUGCUGGAGGCGCCCUGGACAGGCUGCGUAUCCUUUCUUGCGAGACAGGAGAUUCCAGCGGGCUCCCCUCUGGUAGAGGAGG
rnacentral:sRNA from 1 species